CUGGCACAAAAACAGAAAUAUAGACCAAUGGAACAAGAUAGAAAGCCCAGAAAUAAACCCAUGCACCUAUGGGUACCUUAUUUUUGACAAGAGAGGCAAGAGUAUACAAAGGGGGAAAGACAGCCUCUUCAAUAAAUGGUGCUGGAAAACUGGACAGGUACAUGUAAAACAAUGAAAUUAGAACAAUUCCUAACACCAUACACAAAGAUAAACUUGAAAUGGAUUAAAGACCUAAAUGUAAGACCAGAAACUAUAAAACAGAGGAAAACAUAGGCAGAACAUUUGAUGACAUAAGUCAAAGCAAGAUCCUCUAUGACCCACCUCCUAGAGUAAUGGAAAUAAAAACAAAAGUAAAGAAGUGGGACCUGAUUAAACUUAAAAGCUUUUGCACAGCAAAGGAAACUAUAAUCAAGGUGGAAAAUGUCAGUAUUAUUUGCAUUUUUAUCUUCUUUAAUACUCCUGGUAAAGAUCUUGACCCAUGUUAGAUAGCCAGUAACUUUCUGAGUUAAUGAAUGAAUCAGUGAAUAAAAAUCGCAUGUCCUGUGACUGGUGAGAGCUCUUUGAGACAUUAUGUACAGCACUCACUUAGCCUAGGGUAGUUUCUGAGACAUUGUAGCAGUUUUGGAUGUAUUGACAGAAAGGGGAGAUAUGAAUACAACUGGACUUGGAUAAGUAAGUGUUAUUGCAAUUGUGGACCAAAUUAAGCUCUGAACUUCCUAAAGGUCAAAGCAGAAGGGUACACAAUGGAUUAAGUGGAUCUCAUUGUCUGCUUAAAACACACACACACACACACACACACACACACACACACACACACACACAAAUUGUGUGUGAGAGGUCACAUGGACAGAUCAAGGCAAGACAUUCACACUGGGGCAUCACCAAGAUCUCUUGGAGCAGGAACUCCCUAGACUACCUCACUUUAUGGAAUGUGUCUCUGUCUAUAAUGAGACCAACCUGAAGCAGCUCUGUGAUGCAGAAUGUGUCAUUUUAACUGCUACCUUCAGAUUUCCCAGACAGAGUCACUCCCAUUCUCUUAGAAACUCUCGGGGUUUUUCAAUGUUGGUCAACUAACUGUCUGUCUUUUAUUAUACUCCCACACUUGUCUCUUCUCAACCCAUUUUUCCCCCACCCCAAAUCUUUUUCCUUCCAGGGUCCCUUGAUUUCUUUCUCCUUCUCCAACCUGUUCACCAACAUCAGUUGAACAUCAACUAUGCAUUGGUUCCACAUCAGGCAACAUGUCAUGCAUCUGAAAGUUAAUAAGGCAUCCCUCUUCCCCCAAGGUGUUCCCCAGCCUUUCACACUUCCUGCUAAAAUAUUCAUGUGCUAGGCUUCACCUCCCAGGUGUGAGCUGCAUGAAAAUAGGACAGUGGCUAUGUGUUAACAGCUGUAUCUCCAUUACCCACAUCAAGUUCCUCUUUACUGAACAAAGGAACCUAAGCUAAUUCUUAAUGCAGUGUUUCCCCAGUUAUUCUGUGGAACACUAAUCUGUAAAUACACUGUUUAAUCUAAUGGGUUUGAGCAACACAACUUCCUCCAUCCCCUGCCAAAAGAGUCUGAGAAGCCUUGUAGGAAUCAAAUAUAAACUGAGCUCAACUUAUACUGUUUAUUUGACUUCAGAAAUGUAUGUGUUUAGUAUAACAUCAUGUAGAACUUGCAAUCUAUGGAAAAUGUCAUCAGAGUGAGGGAAGCACACCCAGUUAGGAAAGAUGAUGGUGGGCAGAUCUGAGAACAGAAAGCCCUGAGCCCAAUCAAAGCCAUUCCAGCAGGGACCAAGAAACCAGCAGCUGAAAAAGAAGCCUCCAGAAAAGAAACCUACCACAGAGGAAAAGAAGGCUGCUGCGAGCCUGUGUGGUUGGCACAGAAGUAAAAAUAGCUACCAUUUACAAGAGGUGCUGUUAGCAGAGAUUUACCUCACAGAUGCUCAGGCAGUCCUAAGACGUGAGUACUACCGCUGCCAUUGCAGAUGGGGGGAGUGAGGCAUUGGGAGGGGAAGCGACUUUCUUAAGGCCACAGGCCGAGUCUGGAGGUCCAGGUGAGAUACAAGCCCAGGCCGUCUGGCCCCAUAGGCUGUGUUCCUAACCGGUGCACUAGAUUGUCUCCUGAGACCAGAGUGGUGCUCACUUUUCACAGCUCACAUGCAGGAAGAUGGCCAGUGGAGGCAUCAGCGUGGCAGCAUGGCCUCUCGGGGGCAGAGAGCAGUGUAGACGACUCAUCUCUAGCAGUUCAGAGCCCUCGGGGGCCUCUUAACCUGGCCAAGCGGGGCCUCCGCUGUGGACAUAGCUCGCCACAUUAGACAUCUUCUAGAGGCAUCACUGCGCCGGUGCCUCUAUGGGACUGACAUAUACCCACUGCUGCAUAAAAAGUACAUAACUGACGAGGACCUACCGUAUAGAACAGGGAAUGCUGCUCCAUAUUAUGGAGUGGCCUAGGUGGGAAAACAAUCAAAAGGAGUGGAUACAUGUAUGUGUACUACAGAUUCACAUUGCUGCACAGCAGAAACUGAUACAACAUAGCAAAUCAACUGCACUCCAGUAAUAGAUAUUCAUCACAGGGCUAUUCAUCAUGGCUUAAAAAAAGAAACAUUCCCCCACAUCCAAAAAUAUAAGAAUGGUUGAAUGAUUCAACAUUUGAAUACCACACACACACACACACACACACACACACACACACAAGAUAAACAGGAAAUAAAAGACUGGCAAACCAAAUGACUUAUGCAAGACCACUGAGCUCCUAGAUGGAACAGAUGAGGCUAGAAAGUCAGUCUGUAGAUCUUUGAGUCGAGUGUACCCCCCGCCCCUUUCAAUGGCUUCCUCUUCCAGCAAUUACCUAGGGCUGUAUAGCUGUAAGUCCUCUCACCCUGCCCCAGCUAGACUUUGGUUGUUCAGAAGUCUCUAAGUCAUGUCUGACUCUUUGCAAACCUAUGAAAUGCAGCAUGCCAGCCUUCCUGUCCUUCACUGUCUUCUGGAGUUUUCUCAAACUCAUCUCCAUUGAUUUGGUGAUGCCAUUGAAUCAUCUCAUCCUCUGUCGCCCCCUUCUCCUCCUGCCCUCAAUCUUUCCCGGCAUCAGGGUCUUUUCCAAUGAGUCACCUCUUUGCAUCAGGCUAGACUUGAUCCCUGCCCAACUCACAGUUUUCUCAUCAGAAAGAUGAGGAGAAUCAAGCCUACUGUACUGAGUGGAUUCUGAGAAUUAAUGAUGUGGAAAGAAAAUUGUAAAACAAUGCUAUGAAAAUGUUCACAGAGCAUCGCAUUUUUCAGAAUCGUGAUGGCAUGCUGUGUGCCACAGAAUUAUAUUUUCCAUGUUACAAGCCUAUUCAUCAGAUAUAAAAUAGAUACAAUCUCCCAACAUUCUGUAAACUUUUUCUCUCAAAAUCUUUCUGAACCAUUUCUUUAUGUUCUUAAGAGGAGCAAAUACUAAAACACAUAUUUUCUACCUUCAGGAGGUUUGUAGUUGAGUAGAGGCUGCUGCUGCUGCUGCUGCUGCUGCUAAGUCACUUCAGUCGUGUCCGACUCUGUGCGACCCAUGGACAGCAGCCCACUAGGCUCCCCCUUCCCUGGGACUGGGUUGCCAUUUCCUUCUCCAGUGCAUGAAAGUGGAAAGUGAAGUCACCCAGUCAUGUCUGACUCUUAGCGACCCCAUGGACUGCAGCCCACCAGGCUCCUCCAUCCAUGGGAUUUUCCAGGCAGGAGUACUGGAGUGGGGUGCAAUUGCAAGUAGAGGCAACUGCCUACAAAUGUAAUCUCAGGCAAAUUACUACCAGAAUAACUGAAAAUUGGGGGAGGGUUUCAGGAAAGAGGUAGCACUUACAUAAUCAUGAGAGAUAGAAUUUCAGCAGGCUGAAAUGAGGGCAGAGUACCUUCAUUCCUGGUGGACAGGCUAUGUGGACAAAGGAAGGGAAUAAAUAUUUAAUGAAAAGACACUUAGGAUUGCUAGAUUGUCCAGUGGAAAUGAAGUCAGAAGCCAGAACUUAGAAGGAUUGGACUGUUGUUCACAGGCAGGAAUUGAGGACAGAGGGUUCUGCUCAGCAGGGCACCGUAAACGCAGAGCAGGAAAAGCUCUGUAGGAGGCAGUAGACUGUCCAGACUUGGGCAGGGAGACCAGAUGCCUAAGAUUGUUUACUCACUAAACGUGCCUGACUCUUCUGUGACUCUUCUGCUAUUCCAUGGAUGGUAGCCCACCAGUCUCAUCUGUCCAUGGGAUAACCCAGGCAAGAAUCCUGGAAUGGGCUGCCAUUUCCUCUUCUAGUGCAUAAAAUUACCUGCAUGUAAAUGUAGACAAGAUUCAUGUAAGGGCGGUGGGCUUGAGAAUGAGGGAAGAGCAGAAUGGGUCUGUCAGGACACUCUGAAUGGAUGAAUAAUAGUGCCUCUUAUCUGUGAAGGGGGUCAGUAAAGGGACGUGUGUGUGUGUGUGUGUGUGUGUGUGUGUGUGUGUGUGUGUGUGUGUGUGUAAGGGAAAAGAGAGAGGGAAAAGAUCACUUGCAAUUCAUUUUGGCAUAACUACCACUUCAUGGGAAAGAUCUGGAUGCUUCAGAGUAUCAUCAAUUAUUCACCUGGCUUCUGGCAACCUUUCAAAACAUCUUUUAGGUUUGUAUAUUAUUUACUCCUUUGCCUUAAUGCAUUUCCCCUCCCCUGUUAACCCUACCUCAACCCUGAAAUGAAACAAAACUGUAAUUAAUUUUAUAG
ensembl:lncRNA